rnacentral:rRNA from 1 species
CCUACGGGCGGCAGCAGUGGGGAAUAUUGCACAAUGGGGGAAACCCUGAUGCAGCGACGCCGCGUGAGUGAAGAAGUAAUUCGUUAUGUAAAGCUCUAUCAGCAGGGAAGAAAAUGACGGUAACUGAGUAAGAAGCCCCGGCUAACUACGUGCCAGCAGCCGCGGUAAUACGUAGGGGGCAAGCGUUAUCCGGAUUUACUGGGUGGAAAGGGAGCGGAGACGGCAGUGCAAGUCUGGAGUGAAAGGCGGGGGCUCAACCCCCGGACUGCUCUGGAAACUGUACGGCUGGAGUGCAGGAGAGGUAAGUGGAAUUUCUAGUGUAGCGGUGAAAUGCGUAGAUAUUAGGAGGAACACCAGUGGCGAAGGCGGCUUACUGGACUGUAACUGACGUUGAGGCUCGAAAGCGUGGGGAGCAAACAGGAUUAGAUACCCCUGUAGUC